rnacentral:rRNA from 1 species
AUUGAACGCUGGCGGCAGGCCUAACACAUGCAAGUCGAGCGGAUGAAGAGAGCUUGCUCUCUGAUUCAGCGGCGGACGGGUGAGUAAUGCCUAGGAAUCUGCCUGGUAGUGGGGGACAACGUUUCGAAAGGAACGCUAAUACCGCAUACGUCCUACGGGAGAAAGUGGGGGAUCUUCGGACCUCACGCUAUCAGAUGAGCCUAGGUACGAUUAGCUAGUUGGUGAGGUAAAGGCUCACCAGGGCGACGAUCGUUAACUGGUCUGAGAGGAUGCUCAGUCACACUGGAACUGAGACACGGUCCAGACUCCUACGGGAGGCAGCAGUGGGGAAUAUUGGACAAUGGUCGAAAGCCUGAUCCAGCCAUGCCGCGUGUGUGAAGAAGGUCUUCGGAUUGUAAAGCACUUUAAGUUGGGAGGAAGGGCAGUAAGUUAAUACCUUGCUGUUUUGACGUUACCGACAGAAUAAGCACCGGCUAACUUCGUGCCAGCCGCCGCAGUAAAAC